GGCUGAGUAGCUCAAUCUGGGAGAGCGAUGCACUGAAGAUGCAUAGGUUCCCGGUUCAAAUCCGGGCUCGGCCA
rnacentral:tRNA from 3 species